rnacentral:rRNA from 1 species
GAUGAACGCUAGCUACAGGCUUAACACAUGCAAGUCGAGGGGCAGCACAGUGUAGCAAUACAUGGGUGGCGACCGGCGCACGGGUGCGUAACGCGUAUCCAACCUUCCCGAUACUCAGGGAUAGCCUUCCGAAAGGGAGAUUAAUACCUGAUGGUGUUUUAAUUCCGCAUGUUAAUGAAACUAAAGAUUUAUCGGUAUCGGAUGGGGAUGCGUGACAUUAGAUAGUAGGCGGGGUAACGGCCCACCUAGUCUACGAUGUCUAGGGGUUCUGAGAGGAAGGUCCCCCACACUGGAACUGAGACACGGCCCAGACUCCUACGGGAGGCAGCAGUGGGGAAUAUUGGGCAAUGGGGGAAACCCUGACCCAGCAACGCCGCGUGAAGGAAGAAGGCCUCGGGUUGUAAACUUCUUUAGUCAGGGACGAAGGACGUGACGGUACCUGCAGAAAAAGACAACGGCUAACUACGUG